CAGAUUCCUUCUUCAACUCUCUCUCUCUCUCUCUCUCUCUCUUCAUUACGGCUGUUGCUGUAGCUGCUCUGCUGCUUCUCUGUGUUUUUUUCCGCUCUCUCUGAUGCCUAUAAAAAAACCUCUCCUCCAUUAAAGCACUAGUGCUUAUAUCUGUACAUACACUUACAUACAGAAUUCUCUCCCUCUCUCUCUCUCUCUCAGUCUCUUGAAGUUAUAUAUUGAGAAAUACAAGAAGUGAAGUAAAUGUAUGCAGAAACAGGGCUAAUGUUCCCCUACUUCCAGAGCUUCCCUCAAGAAGUUCAGCAGUUUGAUGACUUUUUCUGCUCCCACAAGCCCAAUGCUUCAUUGGGCUUACCGAGCAGCCUCAUUCAGACAUCCCCUAUAUCCGAAUACGACCUUGGGGGAGAAGGGGAUCUCUUCAAGGCGCCUGAACUAGUUAUAGGAGAACCCUUUACUGACCUCAACCCGAUGGCUGCCAUUUCUAUGAUUUCUUGUGGAGAAGAUGUCAUCUCACCCCAAUCUUUGACCGUGUCUGAUAUCGAAUCAUCUAUUGAGAGCGGACAAAUUCUCAGUGAGGUUUUCUAUGAGUGCAGGAAGGAUCUUUUGGCAAAGGACGGGAACGAAACACCACUUUCUGACGUCCUUAGUAUCAAUAUUCCUUCAGGAAAGAUUGAUGAGAACUUUAUUGUUGAGGAGAACUCGCUCGCUGAGGGUCCGUUCCAGAAAAGUGUUAGUUCGAGUUGUUUAAGGUCAAUGGACUCUUUGCAUGAGACUCAGCUGAGGCCGAAUUAUCUUGAUUUUCCCGUUCUGGACUUUGGAGCUGUUUAUGGAAUGAGACGAGCAUUCAGCGAAGGAGACAUAAAGGAUAGGGCAGAGUCAUUGAUUCUGAGUUUUUAUGACAGAGUCUUGGCAGCAUCAUGCAGUCCUCGAUAGGGCAACCUAAACCUAUGAGCAGCCGUGCUUCUGAAGACCGCAGGGAAAAGCUCUCCAGAUACUGGAGUAAGAAGUCCAAGAGAAAUUUUGGCAGAAAAAUUAAGUAUGCUUGCAGGAAGGCACUGGCCGACAGCCAGCCAAGAAUCCGAGGGCGGUUUGCCAGGACUGAGGAACUAGAAAGUUGCAAGAAGCAAUGAGUGUUUGUUUCUACAACUACAAGGAUGUUGAGCUGUGGUUCUUAGAGCUAAUCAUGAGGUCAGGGAAAGGCAAUCUCAUGGUAAUGUUAGUAACUGUGGUGUUAGUUGAAGCUUUGGUGGGAUCUAUUCUAGUUCGGACGGGUUCAGCAAAACCGAACUAAUUUCAUAGCAAGUGAACUACACUUAUCGUGUAAUUGGUGUGCAGCUGAAAUAGUCAAUAGCAUGAUAAGUGCAACAAUAUUUACAAUGUGAUUGGUAGAACCUCGUUUGGAUUAGUAUUUUUUUCCCAUCUUAAAGCUUGAUAGCUAGUUUGUUCGUAAAAUGUAAUAAUCUGCAUUGUAGAUCAAAUGCUCGUCUAGAUUUGUACAUAUUGUUUGUUUCAAUAAACCAAAAUAGAUUUGUGUAAGAA